rnacentral:rRNA from 1 species
AACGAACGCUGGCGGCGCGCCUAAUACAUGCAAGUCGAGCGAGAAGACGUAGCAAUACGUUUGUAAAGCGGCGAACGGGUGAGGAAUACAUGGGUAACCUACCCUCGAGUGGGGAAUAACUAGCCGAAAGGUUAGCUAAUACCGCGUACGCUCCUUGGACUUCGGUUCAGGGAGGAAAGCGAUACCGUGGGUAUCGCGCUCUUGGAUGGGCUCAUGUCCUAUCAGCUUGUUGGUGAGGUAACGGCUCACCAAGGCUUCGACGGGUAGCUGGUCUGAGAGGACGAUCAGCCACACUGGCACUGCGACACGGGCCAGACUCCUACGGGAGGCAGCAGUAAGGAAUAUUGCGCAAUGGGCGAAAGCCUGACGCAGCGACGCCGCGUGGGGGAUGAAGGUCUUCGGAUUGUAAACCCCUUUCGGGAGGG